GCCUCCGGCCUGGAGUCUCGGGGAGAGGAGGGUGGAGGCGGUGUUUUCAGCGGGAGCGCGAAUCUGCGAGGAGAAAGAGCGAGAAAAAAGAUGUAAUCUUCAGUUCUUAGUGUAUCUGUGGUUUUGACUGAAGCAUCUGCAAGUGUUCAGUCCUCUAGCUAUGGACCUUGGAGAGGACCCUACUGAAUGGUAUUAAUCCAGAGCUUGUUCAGUCUCAGGAGGCCAGCUGCCACACUGUGAGCCUCCCUGUGCAAAGGUUCACUCGGCAAGGAAUGGUCAGCAACCAGCAGCUGCCAAGGAACUGAGGCCCUGAGACCACAACCAGCAAUGAAUCCUGCCAACAACCACAUGAACAAGUUUAGCAAUGAAACUUUCCCUGGCCAACAACAUGACUGUAGCUUUUUGGAGCCCCUGAAGCAGAAGACCCAGCUAAACCAUGGCUGACUCACAAAAUCUGUGAGCUAGCAAACAUUUGUUUCAAGUCACUGGAUUUUGGGGUAAUUUGUUGCAUAGUCAUACAUAAUAUAUACUGUCUACAUUAACCAACAGGAGACUCUCACUCAUAGUGAUUCCUGUUUUACAGUUUUAAGUCUGGAAAGCACCCACAUUUGUACUUUUGAAUAAGAAGUGAGUACAAAACCUUACUGAACAACUCUGGCAGAAAAUAAGUAUUACACAGCAGAAUGGUGGAAAGCAGAGAACUUCUACAGGCACAAAUUGUA